rnacentral:rRNA from 1 species
ACAAGGAUUCCCCUAGUAACUGCGAGUGAAGAGGGAAAAGCUCAAAUUUAUAAUCCUUCGGGAGUUGUAAUCUAGAGAAGUGUUUUCGGUCGUUGCCUCGGACAAGUCCCUUGGAACAGGGCGUCAUAGAGGGUGAGAAUCCCGUCCUUGCCGAGCUCCCAACGUCUAUGUGAUGCACUUUCGAAGAGUCGAGUUGUUUGGGAAUGCAGCUCAAAAUGGGUGGUAAACUCCAUCUAAAGCUAAAUAUUGGCGAGAGACCGAUAGCGAACAAGUACCGUGAGGGAAAGAUGAAAAGCACUUUGGACAGAGAGUUAAACAGUACGUGAAAUUGUUGAAAGGGAAGCGCUUGAAGUCAGUCGCGUCGCUUGGACUCAGCCGCAAGGUGUAUUUCCAUGUGACGGGUCAACAUCAGUUUCGGGCGCGGGAAAAGGGUUUGGGGAAUGUGGCAGCCUCGGCUGUGUUAUAGCCCCUUGCCGUACACCGCGCCCGGGACUGAGGACCGCUAAUAGGAUGUUGACGAAAUGGCUUUAAGCGACCCGUCUUGAAACACGGACCAAGGAGUCUAACAUGUCUGCGAGUGUUUGGGUGUCAAACCCAGGCGCGCAAUGAAAGUAAAUGCAGGUGGGAGGCCUCGGCCGCACCAUCGACCGAUCCGGAUCUCUUGGGAUGGAUUUGAGUAAGAGCAUAUAUGUUGGGACCCGAAAGAUGGUGAACUAUGCCUGAAUAGGGCGAAGCCAGAGGAAACUCUGGUGGAGGCUCGUAGCGAUUCUGACGUGCAAAUCGAUCGUCAAAUUUGGGUAUAGGGGCGAAAGACUAAUCGAACCAUC